ACUGUCUGAAAGGCACUCAAUGCACGUAACUGAUGUGAGGUUAAUCCAGUCAAUCGUGCCAUAGCAAUGUUUUUUUUUUAUGUUGGCAGGGUUCACACAUACACUAGCUGAAUUUGCAGAGCUAGCGCGCAAACUAAAGCAAACGUUAACUAUCAAGCUAGCUAGUACCUAUUCCAUUUAUGUAGCGUCGUCAAAGAUGGAAUCUUUGCUAUCGUCAGUUUAUUCCAAGAUCAGCAUGCAGCUGUAGUGCUUCAAAGUCCCUGUGAUAAGGCAGAGCAGGCAACAGAUUGCACACAGACGGCAGAGCUGGGGACAGAUGGGCAGGGACAGACUGGCAGAGACAGGGAGUCUCAGGCCUCUGGCCUGCAUCAGCAACCGCAGUACUUCUUGAAGCCGGGUCUCCGAUCCCUCCACGUGACGUCCAGCGAAGACAAGAAGACGAGUCACAGCACCAGAGUCAUGGGCACCAGUGUAACAGAUGUAAAUCGUACUUUCCUUGCGUUGUGUUUUGUCCAAGUAAAUCACAUCAGCCAGUGGUCCCAGUUGAGCAUCAUUUAUUUCUGUUAAAUAGGA